AUGUAUAUAAUAUAUCUUUGUUUUUUUUAUAAUUUUAUAUAUUUUUAUUAUUGUGUUAUAAAAUGAGAAUUAAAGCAUAUUUUUCUCCUUUUUCUCUUUUUCCUCUUAUCCUUUACUUAUGCUCAUCUUUUUAUCUUCGUUUUUAUUUUUUUUUUUUUGUGUAAAAUAAUUUUAAAAAUUAUUACUCGCAAGUUAUAUACUUUUUUGCGUUCCUUAUCCUUAAAAUGUACUACAAAAAAUUGGUAUAAAUUUAUAAAACAAAUAAGCAGUAUUAAAGAAUAAAAAAAAAAAAAAAAGAAAAAAAAAGACACUUUUCAAAAGUGAUGAAAUAUUAAAAAUGUUUAUAUAUUAUUUUAUAUAGUCUACUAUUAUGGUUAUUAUAAUUAUUAUAUUGAUCAUUAUUAUUACGCUUAUCCACUAUUAUUAUUAUCUUUUUUUUUCGUUUGUAUUGGCUUGAAAAUAUUUUACUCAUCAUAUGUAUUACUUUGCAUGUAUUAUAAAUAUAUGCGCAUAAAAAAAGUAUAUACGCGUUUAUAUGCUUUUUUUUCGAAUCAUCAACGUACAAUUAGCUUCUUUAAACAGUCGUAUAUAUAAUUUGAUUUAUAUGCAGACUACUUACGAUAGUGAACAUGAAGAAGCAAAAUGUGUAAAAAAAAAUAAUUUUGGACAAUGUGUCCGUCGGUUGUAUUGCUUUUUUUCAAUAUUUAUUUUAAUAGGUUUUUCAUAUGCCACUAACGGAUACAACGGAAUAUUUUAUUUUGCUUUAUCAUUUGCCCCCAGUUUGGCUUAUCUAUACAUAUUUAGGAAACAAAUAAAAAAAGAGAUCAAGCAUUCGUAUGUCAUUGAAAUGGUGUUAUAUGGAGCAGUAUUAUCAAUUUUUUCCGCGGGGAUAUUCGAAUAUCUUUUAUCAGAUGUUUGUUAUUAUUUUUGUAGUAUAUGUUUUAUAAAAGAAAUUGAAGAAUCAUAUUCGUUUAUUUGUUCUAUAUUUGCUUUUUUUUAUUUUUUUUUUGUGGUGGCGUAUGUUGAAGAAAUUUCAAAAAUUCUUCCAUUAAUUUUUGUUUAUGUACAAAGAAAUAAGCAAGAAUAUAUCGAAUUACCAAUAGUUGAAAAUGAUCAUUAUGUUAAUAAUAUUACAUAUGAAGAAGAUAUAAAUGAAAGCAGUAUAAAGAAAUUUAAAUACAUUACUGUAAAUGAUAAAUUAGAAUAUAUAUUUUUUUCUUUGUGUUCCUCUGCCGGGUUAUUCUUACAUUUAAAUAUAAGUCAUAAACAUAAUAGGUCUAUACAAACCUAUAUACAUAUGUGUAUGUGUAUUAGUAUAUUUACUAGUUUUUCACUCAUCACUUGUUUAUAUAUAUAUAUAUAUAUAUAUAUAUAUUAUAUCCUCAUAUUUAACAGGUUUUCGAGCACUGAAAAUUUAUUCUAUGUCACACAAAUGAAAAAACAAAAUUUUUUGUUGUCAUAAUAUUAAGGUAAAAAUAAUAACAUAAUGAUGUAUUGAAAAUUUUAUAUUUUUUUUUUUAUAUAUACCAACUACAUUAAUUACACGCACACAUGUACAUAGAUAUAUACACAUAUAUAUAAUUAUAUGUUGUUUACACAGAAACUUAGUAUGUGUAUUAUUUCACAUGUGUUGUACUGGAAUAUCAUCUUACAACAUAGUUAAUAAUAUAUGUCAUAAAAAUAAGAAACGUACGGAGACAAAAAAAAAAAAAACAAAAACAAUGCAUAUAUGUAGAGUCCCCACAUAUAUAUAUGUAUACACGAGCCCAAACAGUUUUGUAGUAAUUUUAUUUCAUUAUUAAUCACAAAUAAAAAAAAAAAUCUUUAUUAUUUAUUGUUUAUU
rnacentral:lncRNA from 1 species